GACAUGACAGGUUCCACCUGUUUGCACACGGCACUGGAAUAACGGCGAAGCUCAGAACGACCCCCGGCACUGCUGCUGUGUGUGUUUCUUGCUGCUGACAUAAUUUAUUUGCUGCAGGACACCGCUACAUUUUUGUCUUCCACGUGAGGGCUGGCAUUAAGGAUGUGGCUCUGAAUGCGGGAAAGUGCAGCAGGACCUAUCCAGAAGGUGCAGCAUCCAGGGCCAACAUCAAAAGACCCAGAAGAGGAGAAAUAAACUUCCUGCCCAAUUAUCCCCAAGGAGAAACUAAGGACACACUGGAGAACCAGAGGCUUGAGAUGGUGGAGCAGUUCAAGAAGACAGUGAUUGAUAGAGACAUGAUUAUGAUCCAUCAA